CCCGGACCCACCCUGACCCCCGGACCCACCCUGACCCCCGGACCCAGCCUGACCCCCGGACCCAGCCUGACCCCCGGACCCAUACGACCUCCAUUCGUUCAUCAACCAAGGUCAGCGCAGUUUCAUGGAAACCACGAAUCAACACAUGGAAUCACGGAACACUACAUCAACGGUGAGGGGCCCAACAAGCACACGUCCGUCAGCUCCCCCUCGGCAGGGAAACCCUCCCUAGACCUAGAGGACAAUCAAAACGUUCAGAUUGGUGCCAGGAAAACAAAGGGUUCCAUUUGAUUGGCCCCCUGAUACUGAUGGGCAGGGCUAGAGCCAGACAUGGGCGGGCAUACCAACGCUAGCUUCCCCACAAUCUCCUCCUCCUCUAUCUGGCUCCUUAUCUGAAUAUGUGUGCCCCAAAUGACAACCUGUACACUACAUGCUCUGGGACCUGAUCUGAGGUAGGGCACUACUUAUAGAUUAGCGUGUCGUUUAGUCUUUGGGCUGGGCAAUCUAGGAGACUAUGGACGAAAUUUCUGGAUUUUGUCAGGACAACCGUCAACAUGACAAUCCAGGGUGUAAUGACAUUCCAUUGGAGUAGCAUAGCCUAGAACGACACCUAAUCUGGCAACGACUUACACACCAGUUUUACUACCAAAGUGAGGACCGGCCACAUCGUUUUACCCAACUCCUAACCCUAGAAACCUAAACCUCAUGCCUGUCAAUGCUUUUCACUGGCUGUUUAAUGAUUGUGAAUUUUCAUUGUUAUUUCUAUGUACACUUUUAAAUUAGAGAGAACUAGCUGCUGCCGAUCUUGGCCAGGAUGCACUGGAAAGAAUUCUAGUCGCAAUGUGCCUUUCCUGGUUAAAUAAUUAAAUCCCUACGUGAAACUCUGUCAAAAAUUCUGAGCCUAACCCUAAACUUAAGGCAGAAUCAGAUAAAGCUUCUUGCCCCCACUCAUGAUUUCCUUGUUUCACUUUGGUAGUACAAUAGUACAAGAGGAACUUGCAAUAACAGACGGGAAACCAGGAAGCCAAGUUAGACAACCACCAACAAGGAGGCUCAGUAGUAAACUAACCCAGGUUAAGGGCAUCACAACAGGGAUUAAACACACAACACACCCACCUGGGCUUGGAAGUGUGCUUUUAGUAAUAACCACCUAACAAUAUCCAACUUAUCAUACAGAUGUUAAUUUGAACACCAGGUUGCAAGAUAAUCUUAUUGCAGUGCAGGACACACACUCCAUUUGAGAUUCAAAAAGGCUUUUGAGGCGUGUCAUUCCCGGAUUGAAUUUCGGACUUGUUUCCCCUCAUAAAAAAAGAAAAAAAUAUAUUAUAUAUCAACCCCUUAUUUCAAUUAACUAUAAUCCACCUAAUUAAAAAACACAUUUUUCUGUUGUUAUAAAAUUGGCUGAGAUAAGGAUU
ensembl:lncRNA